rnacentral:rRNA from 1 species
UUAAGCGACUAAGCGUACACGGUGGAUGCCCUGGCAGUCAGAGGCGAUGAAGGACGUGCUAAUCUGCGAUAAGCGUCGGUAAGGUGAUAUGAACCGUUAUAACCGGCGAUUUCCGAAUGGGGAAACCCAGUGUGAUUCGUCACACUAUCAUUAACUGAAUCCAUAGGUUAAUGAGGCGAACCGGGGGAACUGAAACAUCUAAGUACCCCGAGGAAAAGAAAUCAACCGAGAUUCCCCCAGUAGCGGCGAGCGAACGGGGAGGAGCCCAGAGCCUGAAUCAGUGUGUGUGUUAGUGGAAGCGUCUGGAAAGGCGCGCGAUACAGGGUGACAGCCCCGUACACAAAAAUGCACAUGCUGUGAGCUCGAUGAGUAGGGCGGGACACGUGGUAUCCUGUCUGAAUAUGGGGGGACCAUCCUCCAAGGCUAAAUACUCCUGACUGACCGAUAGUGAACCAGUACCGUGAGGGAAAGGCGAAAAGAACCCCGGCGAGGGGAGUGAAAAAGAACCUGAAACCGUGUACGUACAAGCAGUGGGAGCACAGAGCAAUCUGUGUGACUGCGUACCUUUUGUAUAAUGGGUCAGCGACUUAUAUUCUGUAGCAAGGUUAACCGAAUAGGGGAGCCGAAGGGAAACCGAGUCUUAACUGGGCGUUAAGUUGCAGGGUAUAGACCCGAAACCCGGUGAUCUAGCCAUGGGCAGGUUGAAGGUUGGGUAACACUAACUGGAGGACCGAACCGACUAAUGUUGAAAAAUUAGCGGAUGACUUGUGGCUGGGGGUGAAAGGCCAAUCAAACCGGGAGAUAGCUGGUUCUCCCCGAAAGCUAUUUAGGUAGCGCCUCGUGAAUUCAUCUCCGGGGGUAGAGCACUGUUUCGGCAAGGGGGUCAUCCCGACUUACCAACCCGAUGCAAACUGCGAAUACCGGAGAAUGUUAUCACGGGAGACACACGGCGGGUGCUAACGUCCGUCGUGAAGAGGGAAACAACCCAGACCGCCAGCUAAGGUCCCAAAGUCAUGGUUAAGUGGGAAACGAUGUGGGAAGGCCCAGACAGCCAGGAUGUUGGCUUAGAAGCAGCCAUCAUUUAAAGAAAGCGUAAUAGCUCACUGGUCGAGUCGGCCUGCGCGGAAGAUGUAACGGGGCUAAACCAUGCACCGAAGCUGCGGCAGCGACACUGUGUGUUGUUGGGUAGGGGAGCGUUCUGUAAGCCUGUGAAGGUGUGCUGUGAGGCAUGCUGGAGGUAUCAGAAGUGCGAAUGCUGACAUAAGUAACGAUAAAGCGGGUGAAAAGCCCGCUCGCCGGAAGACCAAGGGUUCCUGUCCAACGUUAAUCGGGGCAGGGUGAGUCGACCCCUAAGGCGAGGCCGAAAGGCGUAGUCGAUGGGAAACAGGUUAAUAUUCCUGUACUUGGUGUUACUGCGAAGGGGGACGGAGAAGGCUAUGUUGGCCGGGCGACGGUUGUCCCGGUUUAAGCGUGUAGGCUGGUUUUCCAGGCAAAUCCGGAAAAUCAAGGCUGAGGCGUGAUGACGAGGCACUACGGUGCUGAAGCAACAAAUGCCCUGCUUCCAGGAAAAGCCUCUAAGCAUCAGGUAACAUCAAAUCGUACCCCAAACCGACACAGGUGGUCAGGUAGAGAAUACCAAGGCGCUUGAGAGAACUCGGGUGAAGGAACUAGGCAAAAUGGUGCCGUAACUUCGGGAGAAGGCACGCUGAUAUGUAGGUGAAGUCCCUCGCGGAUGGAGCUGAAAUCAGUCGAAGAUACCAGCUGGCUGCAACUGUUUAUUAAAAACACAGCACUGUGCAAACACGAAAGUGGACGUAUACGGUGUGACGCCUGCCCGGUGCCGGAAGGUUAAUUGAUGGGGUCAGCGCAAGCGAAGCUCUUGAUCGAAGCCCCGGUAAACGGCGGCCGUAACUAUAACGGUCCUAAGGUAGCGAAAUUCCUUGUCGGGUAAGUUCCGACCUGCACGAAUGGCGUAAUGAUGGCCAGGCUGUCUCCACCCGAGACUCAGUGAAAUUGAACUCGCUGUGAAGAUGCAGUGUACCCGCGGCAAGACGGAAAGACCCCGUGAACCUUUACUAUAGCUUGACACUGAACAUUGAGCCUUGAUGUGUAGGAUAGGUGGGAGGCUUUGAAGUGUGGACGCCAGUCUGCAUGGAGCCGACCUUGAAAUACCACCCUUUAAUGUUUGAUGUUCUAACGUGGACCCGUGAUCCGGGUUGCGGACAGUGUCUGGUGGGUAGUUUGACUGGGGCGGUCUCCUCCUAAAGAGUAACGGAGGAGCACGAAGGUUGGCUAAUCCUGGUCGGACAUCAGGAGGUUAGUGCAAUGGCAUAAGCCAGCUUGACUGCGAGCGUGACGGCGCGAGCAGGUGCGAAAGCAGGUCAUAGUGAUCCGGUGGUUCUGAAUGGAAGGGCCAUCGCUCAACGGAUAAAAGGUACUCCGGGGAUAACAGGCUGAUACCGCCCAAGAGUUCAUAUCGACGGCGGUGUUUGGCACCUCGAUGUCGGCUCAUCACAUCCUGGGGCUGAAGUAGGUCCCAAGGGUAUGGCUGUUCGCCAUUUAAAGUGGUACGCGAGCUGGGUUUAGAACGUCGUGAGACAGUUCGGUCCCUAUCUGCCGUGGGCGCUGGAGAACUGAGGGGGGCUGCUCCUAGUACGAGAGGACCGGAGUGGACGCAUCACUGGUGUUCGGGUUGUCAUGCCAAUGGCACUGCCCGGUAGCUAAAUGCGGAAGAGAUAAGUGCUGAAAGCAUCUAAGCACGAAACUUGCCCCGAGAUGAGUUCUCCCUGACCCUUUAAGGGUCCUGAAGGAACGUUGAAGACGACGACGUUGAUAGGCCGGGUGUGUAAGCGCAGCGAUGCGUUGAGCUAACCGGUACUAAUGAACCGUGAGGCUUAACCUU